rnacentral:rRNA from 1 species
CCCUUAGAUGUUCUGGGCCGCACGCGCGCUACACUGAUGCAUUCAACGAGUCUAAAACCUGGUCUGAUAGGGCUGGGUAAUCUUUUGAAAGUGCAUCGUGAUUGGGAUAGGUGAUUGCAAUUCUUCAUCUUCAACGAGGAAUGCCUAGUAAACGCAAGUCAUCAGCUUGCAUUGAUUACGUCCCUGCCCUUUGUACACACCGCCCGUCGCUCCUACCGAUUGAAUGAUCCGAUGAAUACCAUGGAUUGAGAGUACGAAUGGGUUCGCUCAUUUCUGCUGCUCGAGAAGUGGAGUAAAUCUUAUCAUUUAGAGGAAGGAGAAGUCGUAACA